rfam:Rattus norvegicus chromosome 4, whole genome shotgun sequence.
GGACAUUUAGUUUAAUGGUUAAGAGCACUGGCUGCUCUUCCAGAGGCCCUGGGUUCAAUUCCCAGCACCCCCA